AUGGCGGAGAAGGGCGGGAGGAAGAGCGUGCCGGCGCUCGGAUGGUGGCUAAUGCUGGUCGGCUCCCUCCGCCUCGCCUCCGUGUGGUUCGGCUUCUUCAACAUCUGGGCGCUCCGCGUCGCCGUCUUCUCCCAGACUGAGAUGACUGAAAUACACGGUCGUACUUUUGGGGUCUGGACACUCCUAACCUGUACACUGUGUUUUCUGUGUGCAUUCAACCUAGAAAACAAGCCUCUGUAUAUAGCCACCUUCCUGUCAUUCAUCUAUGCUCUUGGUCACUUUCUCACGGAGUACUUGAUAUAUCAUACCAUGGCUGCAGCAAAUCUUUGCACUGUUGGCUUCUUUGCAGGGACAUCAAUUGUAUGGAUGCUGCUUCAGUGGAAUUCUCAUGGGGAUUCGCGUGGUUCCCAUGCUGUCAAGCAGUCGUGA
rnacentral:rRNA from 1 species